UACGUAGGGUGCGAGCGUUAAUCGGAAUUACUGGGCGUAAAGGGUGCGCAGGCGGUUCUGUAAGACCGGUGUGAAAUCCCCGGGCUCAACCUGGGAAUUGCGCUGGUGACUGCAGGGCUAGAGUACGGGAGAGGGGGGUGGAAUUCCUGGUGUAGCAGUGAAAUGCGUAGAGAUCAGGAGGAACACCGAUGGCGAAGGCAGCCCCCUGGCCCUGUACUGACGCUCAUGCACGAAAGCGUGGGGAGCAAACAGG
rnacentral:rRNA from 1 species